rnacentral:rRNA from 1 species
UACAGAGGGGGCUAGCGUUGUUCGGAAUUACUGGGCGUAAAGCGCACGUAGGCGGCUUUGUAAGUUAGAGGUGAAAGCCCGGGGCUCAACCCCGGAAUUGCCUUUAAGACUGCAUCGCUAGAAUUGUGGAGAGGUAAGUGGAAUUCCGAGUGUAGAGGUGAAAUUCGUAGAUAUUCGGAAGAACACCAGUGGCGAAGGCGACUUACUGGACACAUAUUGACGCUGAGGUGCGAAAGCGUGGGGAGCAAACAGG